rnacentral:lncRNA from 1 species
UUAUUAUUUACGGCCACAAACCCAGAACAAACCUAUACAUCAUUUCUUGUAUCAAUGUACAAAAGUACCUUCAUAAAGAGUACUGUGCCUUCUUAGCUCACGUGGUAGACAAAAAGCAAGAAGUGAAUGACAUAGCGAGUAUUCCUAAGGUCUGCAACUUUCCUGACAUUUUUCCCAAUGAUCUUCCAGGAGUGCCUCCUGAACGACAAGUCGAAUUUAGAAUCGACUUAAUUCAUGGGGCUACCCCUGUAGCCAAAUCCCCCUAUCGUCUUGCACCUUCUGAAAUGCAGGAGUUAUCCAUCCAACUUAAUGAACUCCUUAUCAAAGGUUUCAUAAGACGAAGCUUCUCACCUUGGGGAGCACCAAUUCUUGUUCAUGAAGAAGAAGGAUGGAUCAUUCCGUAUGUGCAUAGACUAUCGCGAGCUGAAUAAACAUACCAUUGAAAAUUGAUACCCUUUACCUCGUAUUGACGAUCUGUUUGAUCAACUUCAAGGUGCGAGCUACUUCUAAACUAUAGACUUAAGAUCCUGGUAUCACCAAUUACGGAUUUUGGAGAUUGACAUUCACUAAACCAUGUUCAGAACUCAUUAUGGUCAUUAUGAGUUCGUAGUGAUGCAAUUUGGAUUGACGAAUGCACCAACUGUGUUCAUAUAUCUAAUGAACAGAGUGUGUUGUCCAACCAUUGAAUCUAAUAUUCACAAUCGACAUGGCUAACAGAAAAUCCGAAUCUACCAACGAUAUAUACAUAGGAUGUACUCUUACCUUGAAUAACAUUUCGUUCCCAAUAGACCUUAUGCCGGUCUCUAUCAAAAGUUUCGACGUCAUAAUAGGUAUGGAUUGGUUGUGUCCUAAGCAUGCUGACAUUCUAUGCUAUGAAAGAGUUAUUUGUCUGAAGUUGCCAACUAACGAAACACUUAUUAUUUACGGCGACAAACCCAGAACAAACCUCCACAUCAUUUCUUGUAUCAAUGCACAAAAGUACCUUCACAAAGAGUAUUGUGCCUUCUUAGCUCACGUGGUAGACAAAAAGCAAGAAGUGAAUGACAUAGCGAGUAUUCCUAAGGUCUGCAACUUUCCUGACAUUUUUCCCAAUGAUCUUCCAGGAGUGCCUCCUGAACGACAAGUCGAAUUUAGAAUCGACUUAAUUCAUGGGGCUACCCCUGUAGCCAAAUCCCCUUAUCGUCUUGCACCUUCUGAAAUGCAGGAGUUAUCCAUCCAACUUAAUGAACUCCUUAUCAAAGGUUUCAUAAGACGAAGCUUCUCACCUUGGGGAGCACCAAUUCUUGUUCAUGAAGAAGAAGGAUGGAUCAUUCCGUAUGUGCAUAGACUAUCGCGAGCUGAAUAAACAUACCAUUGAAAAUUGAUACCCUUUACCUCGUAUUGACGAUCUGUUUGAUCAACUUCAAGGUGCGAGCUACUUCUAAACUAUAGACUUAAGAUCCUGGUAUCACCAAUUAUGGGUUCUGGAGAUUGACAUUCACUAAACCAUGUUCAGAACUCAUUAUGGUC